rnacentral:lncRNA from 1 species
AGAUCUGCGUAUUCACCUUGCUGGUCACCGGCCACCACCACCUCGGAGCCAAUGAAUUUUCUGUCGCGAGCCCCGCUAACGGGCUUGCCGCUGAGAACUCUGGGAAAUGUAGUUAGGCGCGAGCAAGCUGUCGUUAGUUGCAGGUCUGAGGCGGGAACCGGGGCUCCUCAUGUGUUCGUGGCUCGGUUCAGCCUUCCACGAGCUCCUGAAGUUCUGCCAUUCCCCGUGGUCUGUAGUUCAGGAAGCUUCUGGAACAUACGGCGCCUCUGCCAUGGAAACACGAUCCGCGUCAUCAGCUUCAGAUGUGAUCUUGGAACGCUGAGUUCGCCUUGGCAGCUGUCCGAAAGUUAA